AUUCGGGCUGAUAACUAGGCGGCGCUUUCGAUACUUACGACGUUUUGCCCUUUAAGUGCCCGAGAUAUUAAUCUUGUCGUGUCUUUGAUACGAUGGCGGAGAUCUUACAAGUU
rnacentral:ncRNA from 1 species